CUCUAGGAAUCUUAGCCAUGUGGUUAAGCAGUAACAUCUGCUACCCAUUUUUAGAUCCUCUUAAUGGGACUUUUUCAGCGCUUAACAAUAGAAUAAGGUCAUUUCAUAUGUAGCCUCAGUCUUCCAAAGAUUGUUUAAGGGUAUUUUUGAACUAUUUAUUUGUUUAAAAAAAAAAGCUGUAGUUUUUCCUCAGAUUUAGAUAUGGGAUGAAUGGGGAAUGCUGUGAAUCAAAUUUGGGAUAAUUUUAUCUUCUUGUCAGGGAAUAGCUUCAUGUUUUAUCUUCUCACAAAAUCUAUAAUGAGAGAGCUGUUUAGUUCAAGUCUGGUAUAGGUCAUUAAUUACUACUAUCACAGGGAGGAUUUUUUCAUCCAAGUCCAACUUGUUGGAAAACUGUUUUUUUCACAGGUCACUGCCCUGACUCUGGCCUCCCUGGACUCAUACAUGCCUGGAUAUGGAGAGCCUGUGCUCCACGUGAUGUCUGCUACUGGGCUUGCAAUGUUUCCUCCAAGUAUGGUGUGCAGACAUCUGCAUCAGAAUCACUUGUGAGUGCCUGUUAUAAAGUAUUGGAUUGCAACCCAAUUCUACUGAAUUACAGUCUUACAGGUAAUGCCCAAGAGUCUGCGUUUUACACAUUCUCCAAGUAAAUCUUGUAAGCAUUUCUUUGGAAACAACUGAGGAAGAAGUAGAAUAAUGAUAUUACAACCCAGAGAUAAUAUCAGUUAUCUAAAUGUGGUAUCUACCUGUCCUUAGGAAACCAACUUGCUCUGAAAAUAAAUUAAAAGGGAGAGGGUUUUAUAUUUCUUUCUGUUGAUUUAGAAACCCUCUAACUUAAUGAAAUCCACUUCUUCAUAGUAGAUUUAACCAUAGCAGAUGAAUAGUGGUUCAUCUGGGUUUUAGGAUUUUUAUAUUCCCACUUAAAAUUGACUUCGAUUUGACUUUGCAGCAAAAAAUCUAUGAAAGCAUUUAAUGUCCAGCUAUAUCAUAAAAUCUGUUGUGUAACAGAAUAGCCAAUAGGAACAUCUGGGAACCAAACUUUAUUACCAGUCAAGCUUUAAGCUUGUUGCCAUUGGCAUCAAGGAACCAGUUUUAUGCUGCUCCAGGAGACUACAAGAAAAAUGUUAAGUAGAAGGGAUGCCUUAGUGGUGACAUAUACAUCUGUGCAUGUUUUAUAGCUCUCAGUACAAUUACUUGAUUACUUGUGGGGAGUUUCACCACCUUUGCUUAACAAUCAUUUUUCUUGUGUGGUCAUUUUCAUGUUAAUAUGCAGCUGGUUAAAUAUUUCUUUAAGUACCAGUAAAAAAUAAAUACUUAAUGCAGCCAGAUUAUAGCCUGGAUAAAUGCAGAGAGAGAGGGUGGGAGGGAGUGAGAAACAGAAUGAAUGAACUAGACCACUCACUUGACACUAGUCUUAGGAAUCUGGUCUCUGAUUCCAUUUUCAACAGGAUGGUAACUGAGGGAAACAAAAAGUGCACUGGACUGUAAGUUAAUUCUGCUCUCCUACUAUCUAUGUGAUUGUAUGAAUAUUUUACAUUUCAAACCUCUUCUUUCCUUUUCUAUAAUAUAAAGGAAUUAAACUAAAGGGGCCCCCAAAUGUAUUUAAUUUCUUAAUACUAGUUUGAAAUAUAGAAAAUGUUAUCCAAUUUAAUUUUAAAGUAAAAUAUAUCAUAAGUUAAUUAAUUUAGUUUAAAUUUAUUUGCUAAAAUAUGGAUAAGUGGUUCAGACUUUUAUGGAUGAGAACAUAUUAAAUAAAACAUGAAUCAUGUGAUAAUAUUUUAAUUUUUACUAUCUAUUGAUUUUUCCAAAAAUCAAAAUGUAUUAGAAAUUCAGAAACACACGAAUUUUUAUUUUAUUAAUCAUAGCAGUAUCUACACUAUCUUGAAAAAUAGCAACUAUGAACAUAAAAUAGAACUAAUUCAAUGUAAAAGCAAUUCUUAGUUUGUAUAAAGAUUCUUGGAUUCUUUGCAAUAACUUCAAAAACAACUCCAAAAUAUUUGGGAACUACCAAAAAUAAAGAAUGAAGAGAUAAACUUGAGCAUCCUCUAAGUGGAAGCUAGAUUUUAUUCAUCUACACAAGAUAUAAAAAAGUGAGAAACAGUUUAAACCUGACAGUCAAGGAACUCUUUUUGAGGAUGUGAUAUUUUAUCCUGAAACCUAAAAGAACAGAAAGAACUUGGUAUACAAAGCUGGGGGAAAGAACAUUCCAGAGAGACAGUAUGUCAUGUAAGUCUCUACAGGUAGACUACACUGUCUUUGUAGCUGCAGGAGUGAGAGGGGAUGACUUUAGAGAGAUAGACAAGAGCUGUAAGGCAAAGUCUUACAAUUUGUCACCAAGAGUAUGGAUUAAAACAAAGCACAAGGAGAAAAUUGUGAACGAUUUUAAACCAGCCAUAUAAUGCAGCUACAUUUUGAGAAAAAUCACCUUUGCUGCUGUAUAAGUAAUGGAUUGGGAUGGGGAAAGGCAGGGUAAAUAAAAAGACCAGUAAAGAGACUCCUGCAGUAUUCCAAGUAAAACAUGACGAUGGUCUGAACUAAAGGUGAAGACAACAGAGAUAAAAAAGAAAUGGAAGAAUGUGAUAACUUUUGGAUUUAACAAGGCUUGAUGAUGGUUUGAAUUCUUAAACAAAUUGGGCAACCAGAAAUUACUCUAUUUUUCUGGUUUGUUUUCCUGGGUGGGUGAUACCUCUUCUGAAAUGUGGAAGAUUGUGGAUGAGGAAACAAUUGGGGUGAGGGAAAACCCACUAAUUAUGAUUUUCAGGUUUAAGGCAUUCUAAAGAUCUGUAAGUUCCUAUUAAUUUGGGCAUGUCAGUCAUUUAGUGAAAACCUUAUUCCCACAGUUUGUCAGCGAAACCUUCAAUCUUAACUAUUCAUACUUGCCUGAUUCUUAUCCUUCCACUUGCAGCUUAUAUUUCCAGUGGGGACUUGUGUCAGCCCUGGCCCUUGAGGCAGUGUGCUGGAAUGAGGAGUGGCAAGAGCCUGCUUAUUAACUAGUCAUGACAAUAUCCACCCACGCUGUGACUUCAUUUCUGCUUCCUUGGAAGGGAUGGCCUUCUGAAAAGAAGUUCUACUCAUCCUUCCAAGCCUAUAGAACCAAGGAUAAGGAGAAGCUAGGAGCCUAAAAUAUAGAAAAGAAAUGAUAUAUUCACAAGACGCUGUCAGAAAAGCAUACUGAUCACAAAAUCAUGACAUUCGAGAGGGAAUUUUAUAGCAUGUGCCGAAUCCUGAGGUCAAAACCAUAGUGGAAUAACAUAGCUCCCUCUAAACCUCUUAGACACCAUCCUCUGUGUGAGUAGUCCUCACUGCUUUUUUUCUACAUUCAAUAGGGUUACAGUUUCAAUUGCAUAGCCUCUGUGUUACAUUUACGAUAACAAUACUUCAAAAAAAUCUGUUACAUCCUUUUGAAAUCAAAGUUCAGAGGAUUGCUUCUAAGCUAGGACAUAGAAAUGGAGUAUUUCUUUAGGACUUUUUAUCUUUAUUUUACUGAUUAUACUAUAAUUGUGGGGGCCAUCUCAAAUACAAUUUUAAACAUCAUCAAUGUAUUUGGUGAAAGAUAUCAAAGGUGGGUUGUAAGAAUUAUGUCUAUGAUUAUGCCACUGGAUGGCAAAAUACGGAUGUAUCUGUCAUUAGUUUUCUAGCCCAUAAAAUCACACUUUUUAAAAAAGGCUAACAGCGGUUAUUACCUAAUUUAUAAGUAAUCGUAUGGAGUGAUGUAA
rnacentral:lncRNA from 1 species